rnacentral:rRNA from 1 species
UGCAGAGGUCUCAAGCGUUGUUCGGAUUCAUUGGGCGUAAAGGGUGCGUAGGCGGCGCGGUAAGUCGGGUGUGAAAUCUCGGGGCUUAACUCCGAAACUGCAUUCGAUACUGCCGUGCUUGAGGACUGGAGAGGAGACUGGAAUUUACGGUGUAGCGGUGAAAUGCGUAGAUAUCGUAAGGAAGACCAGUGGCGAAGGCGGGUCUCUGGACAGUUCCUGACGCUGAGGCACGAAGGCCAGGGGAGCAAACGGG